GGCAUGCUCUGGGCCCUCAGGCCUGUUUAGACGGCUGGGCCGGAUGUGACCAACUCCAGGCACUUGGUUCUCCGCAAGGCUGGAGCUGUCAUCUCAAAAGCUGCUCAGCCAGAAGCCAAGAGGCAGGUGUCCUGUGGGCCCUGGGCAAGCUUCUUCUCCCGGCGGGCCUCGGAUUCUUUGCCUGUGGAAAGAGGUAUUUGGUUCCAACACCCUUUGGACCCUGGUGCCCUGUUCACCUGUGGGCCAGGACAACCCCGGUUCUGCUGUUCUGAUGCGGCCCUUCCAGAUGGGGGCUGGUCGUGCCUGACUCUCUCUCCCUGAAGUUGUCUGUCCUGAGCCUCUGCCCCGGGCCCUGGCCAGGAAGAGUCUAAGGAAACGUGAACAUCUUUGCGCUCUGUCCACCGCGUCCAAAUUGAAAGCAGAAGAGGCCGGAGCCUUUGCUGUUAGCUCCUGCAGAGCAGGUCUGUCUUUUAUCGCUUUGGAGUCACCUUCUUAGGAGAGACUACGUCUGCUUCGGUGAGAGAGACAGAGCAUGAAUGGGGGAGGAUCACAGACAGGGAGACACAGAAUUCGAAGCA